CAGCAGCCGCGGUAAUACCGGCGGCUCGAGUGGUGGCCACUAUUACUGGGCUUAAAGCGUCCGUAGCUUGGUUGUUAAGUCUCUUGGGAAAUCUGUCGGCUUAACCGACAGGCGUUUAAGGGAUACUGGCAAUCUAGGGACCGGGAGAGGUGAGAGGUACUCCAGGGGUAGGAGUGAAAUCCUGUAAUCCUUGGGGGACCACCUGUGGCGUAGGCGUCUCACCAGAACGGCUCCGACAGUGAGGGACGAAAGCUGGGGGAGCAAACCGGAUUAGAUACCCGGGUAGUCCCAGCCGUAAACGAUGCGCGUUAGGUGUAUCGGUGACCACGAGUCACCGAGGUGCCGAAGGGAAACCGUGAAACGUGCCGCCUGGGAAGUACGGUCGCAAGGCUGAAACUUAAAGGAAUUGGCGGGGGAGCACCACAACAGGUGGAGCCUGCGGUUUAAUCGGACUCAACGCCGGAAACCUCACCGGAUAAGACAGCGGGAUGAUAGCCAGGCUGAAGACUUUGCUUGACUAGCUGAGAGGAGGUGCAUGGCC
rnacentral:rRNA from 1 species